UCCGUAGGUGGUCAUGCAAGUCUGCUGUCAAAGCCCACAGCUUAACUGUGGAUCGGCGGUGGAAACUGUGUGACUUGAGUACGGUAGGGGUAGAGGGAAUUCCCAGUGUAGCGGUGAAAUGCGUAGAUAUUGGGAAGAACACCGGUGGCGAAAGCGCUCUACUGGACCGUAACUGACACUGAGGGACGAAAGCUAAGGUAGCGAAAG
rnacentral:rRNA from 1 species